ensembl:lncRNA
GCCUGGCCGCAGGGAGGGAAACCUGGGCCCCUCGAGCCCCUGGGGGAGGGAGGUACCCUAGGAGCUGUCCUGGGAGCCGCACCCUCCCCAGGCCGGUGGGGGGUGCAGGUGCUCUGUCCCGUGGUCGGGUGGGCAGCGGAGCCUCCGCCUCCCGCUCGAGGACCCCGCACGGCGAGCGCCGCGCCGGUCCCGCCACGCCCCGCAGGCGCCGUCCCCGCUGCCACUCCCUCCCGCGGGCCCAGCUGAGCCGCGGCCGCGCUUCCUGCACCCAGGACCCGACAGAGAGACAGAUUAUUGCUAUGGCUAUGGCUACAGUCUUGCCCAAGCUCUUCUUGAUGUCCUGGCCUCAAGUGAUCCUCCCAUCUCAGCCUCCCAAGGUACUGAGAUUAUAGGCAUGAGCCACCAUGCCCAGCCUUCAACCAGAUUUCUUGACAGCACCUUUACAUGUGAUUCUUACACCAGUCUUCACUAUUAACCCCAUUUUAAAGAAGCAGAAACCAAGGCCCAGGGAGGCUACAUAACUUGCUAGAGCUCUCAGAGCUAAAAAGCAACAGAUGUGCAAUUCAAACCCAGGCAUUCAGAUGCCCAAGUCCCCUGCACUCCCACUCUCCUAAACUGCCUCAGCCUGAGCAAGCCCAACCUGAAGCCUUCCUCCUGGAGUCCAAAGUCCAGCCAGGAAUGUGACAUGGGCUCCCCAGCCCUCCAGAUGUGUGUGCUCACACUUCGUCUAGACUUGUUCCUCCCUGGCCUUCGAACGUUCCGCCCUCAGAUGUCCCCAUUAGUCACAGUCUGUCUGAGAGCCCUCGGAUUAGCUGGAUCGGAGCAGACGCAACUUUGUGGUGGUCAUCAGUUUGUCCCAUUCAUCAGCUCAGGCCCGAGCCUGUUGGAGUGUGGUUGUUGCCAAAAACAAGAACUCUUAGGAAAGAAAACCAGUCUCUUUCUGCCUGAAACUGUCCUGAAACUUGACUCAGCAUCGGCAAUUAUUUUCCAGAAGGAAAGUUACCGACCUGAUUCUGCAGCCACAUGCUCUGCUCUAGAAAGCUCAUGGUGACGGGAAGCACAGGACAGGGGUGGAUCAGCAAGAGAAGGCUUGGGCCUGAGCAGGGAUUGAGAUGAGCUGGCGCUAGAACAGAGGGAGGAAGUAGGAACUCAUUCUGUUGUUUAGGGGAUAAAGAGAGAUUUCCGCUAAGGCUAACCAGCUGUGCUAAUUGGAAGAACGAAGUGGAAAAACAGUAAUUUUCAAAAGUAGAUCAUCUGUGCACAUUCUGAAAUAUAUGCACAUUCUUCCACUAGUAUGAGUUUGCAGUGAGGAUGUAUCUGAUGCAUCCAUUUCUGUAUCAGUCAGACUCAGCAAGAAGCAGAUGGCACCCUCAAGCAGGGUAAUUGACAAAAAUUUAACACAAAGGUGUGGACAGGGCUAAGGGAUGGUGCCACACGGUGGGACUGGCAUGCCUCGGGAGCUCACUAGCCCUAGGCUUGCAGGAGGAAGGGAGAGAGAAGUGCAGGAGAGGGACUCCAACAGGAGCUGAGCUGACAUCUUCAGCCAAGGGAAGCAGCCAACCUGAAGUGACCCCGGCAGAGUGGAUAAAUACUCCCGGGUCUUCACUCUCCUCCCAUCCUCUGAUCUCCAGUUAAUGCUUCCUAUCGCCCAAAUCUAGCAGACGCUGGAAGGCAGGGAGCCGGGUGACAUCAUCCUUAGAGUAGGGGGAUGGAGACUGGAUCUGGAUAGGUGGAUAGAAAGUGCACAGC